AGACUGAUAAAACAAGUGGCCACAAGAAGGAAGGGAUUUACUCCAGAAUUUUAAGAUGAAACAUGUAUGCUACCUAUUACAUGCAAGCUCACUAUUACUCCAAAGAGCAUAAAACCCAAUGUUUUCAAAGGUCUGGUCUAGCUCAAGAGAUCUCAAGAUAGAAGAAGGAAUGGUAGAAAUGUAUGGAGCAUCAAUCCCAGCAAGAAGACAUGUGGUAAUUCUUCCUUCUGAGAAAGGAUAAAGAAAAAACUGAAGAAUAUUACAGUUUUAAUAGCAAAGAUGGAAAUAAAAGUCCAUCGUAAUAUUACCAGAAUAUUACACCAAAGAAACGUGGGUGUAGAAGUCAAAUCUGUAGCCUUUGGGCAUUGUUCCUGAUUGAAAAUACCUUUUCCAAGCAA